GUUAGUUGCCAUCAUUCAGUUGGGCACUCUAGCGAGACGUGCCGGUAAUAAACCGGAGGAAGGUGGGAUGACGUCAAUCAUCAUGCCCUUAUGACCUGGGCUACACACGCGCUACAAUGGUUGGUACAACGAGUUGCGAGCGGUGACGGCGAGCUAAUCUCUUAAAGCCAAUCUCAGUUCGGAUUGUAGGCUGCAACUCGCCUACAUGAAGUCGGAAUCGCUAGUAAUCGCGGAUCAGCACGCCGCGGUCGAAUACGUUCCCGGGCCUU
rnacentral:rRNA from 1 species